AUACGGGGGAUUCAAGCGUUAUCCGGACUUAUUGGGUUUAAAGGGUGCGCAGGCGGGAGAUUAAGUCGGCGGUGAAGUUUUGCAGCUCAACUGUAAAAGGGCCUUCGAAACUGGUUUCCUUGAGUGUAGAUGAAGUAGGCGGGAUUUGUGGUGUAGCGGUGAAAUGCAUAGAUAUCACGAGGAACUCCGAUUGGGCAGGCAGCUUACUAAACUACUACUGACGCUCAGGCACGAAGGCGUGGGGAUCAAACAGGAUUAGAUACCCUGGUAGUCCACGCAGUAAACGAUGAUUACUAGCUGUUUGCGAUACAAUGUAAGCGGCUGAGCGAAAGCGUUAAGUAAUCCACCUGGGGAGUACGUUCGCAAGAAUGAAACUCAAAGGAAUUGACGGGG
rnacentral:rRNA from 1 species